AGUAACUCUCAAUUGUCAUUGCCUCUUCCAGUCGUCUGCCACGUAGAGAAGGCCACAGGUUUCAACACCAGUUUUGUGUCUCCUUGGAGGGAUGAUGAUGGCCCUGAUGGCAGCCCUACCCACCCUGCUAAGGAUGAUAACCGUCCGACCCGUCCUACCCACCCUCAGCACCCUCCUAGGAGGGGUAAGAGACACGCUGGGGAUUCUCACGGGGAUUCAUCCAGUGCUGAAAGUCAUCAGUUCAGCUCAUCAAAAGAGGACUCCAGAAAAGAAGACUCCAGCGAAGAGGAGACCAGCGAAGAAGAGACCAUGUGGACCCUCUACGGCUUGUUUCAGCUGAGCGACCGUGUGAUCUGUGCCAACGGCUCCACUCCGUCUCUGAACCUUUGCCAGAUGAACUGCAGUGAUUUGAUCGACGACGACGUCAGUGACGACUUGGACUGUGUGGAGACAAUCAAACAGACAGUGGAAAGUGGGCCCAGGGAUCAUAAAAUGGCUUUAAUGAGAAUGUUUAAGCUGCUCUUCCAGAAGGAAUGUGUCAUGACGGUUGCCUCUAGCUACUUCUCCGAGUGUUGA
rnacentral:lncRNA from 1 species